AGGGUUCGAUUAUGGCUCAGAUUGAACGCUGGCGGUAGGCUUAACACAUGCAAGUCGUGCGAGAAAGUAUCUUCGGAUAUGAGUAGAGCGGCGGACGGGUGAGUAACGCGUAGGAAUCUACCUAGUAGAAGGGGAUAGCCCGGGGAAACCCGGAUUAAUACCGUAUACCUCCUUCGGGAGAAAGAAGGCCUCUCUUUGAAGCUUUCGCUACUAGAUGAGCCUGCGUAAGAUUAGCUUGUUGGUGAGGUAAAGGCUCACCAAGGCGACGAUCUUUAGCUGGUCUGAGAGGACGAUCAGCCACAUUGGGACUGAGACACGGCCCAGACUCCUACGGGAGGCAGCAGUGGGGAAUAUUGGACAAUGGGCGCAAGCCUGAUCCAGCCAUACCGCGUGUGUGAAGAAGGCCUUCGGGUUGUAAAGCACUUUAAGCAGGGAGAAAAAGUUAUAAGUUAAUACCUUAUAACCCUGAUGUUACCUGCAGAAUAAGCACCGGCUAAUUCCGUGCCAGCCGCCGCGGUAAUAC
rnacentral:rRNA from 1 species